rnacentral:rRNA from 1 species
UGUUCCCGGGCCUUGUACACACCGCCCGUCACACCAUGGGAGUGGGUUGCAAAAGAAGUAGGUAGCUUAACCUUCGGGAGGGCGCUUACCACUUUGUGAUUCAUGACUGGGGCGAAGUCGUAACAAGGUAACCGUAGGGGAACCUGCGGUUGGAUCACCUCCUUA